UCGACCAACUAUAUUAAACAGUGGUAGCCACCCAUCAGAAGUUGUUGUCACCCAAGGAAAUGAAAUUUCUUUGCAGUGCAAGGUACAGGGCAUUCCAGAACCAACAAUAACGUGGAUGAAGGAUGGCCGUCUGCUGUUCCUCCAAGUAUUGCUGGUGACCUGCAGAUGCCUGAAAACAUCAGCAUUGUGGAGAAGAAUCCCAUCUCUCUGGUUUGUGAAGCUUCAGGAAUUCCCUUGCCGUCAAUAACGUGGCUCAAAAAUGGAUGGCCAGUCGCUUUGAACAACUCGGUGCGAAUCCUCUCAGGGGGCAGAACACUCCGUUUGACACACACGAGUGUAGCAGAUGAAGGUCAAUAUACUUGUGUAGUGACCAAUGCUGCAGGAGAAGCGAGGAAGGAUUUUGACCUUUCUGUUCUAG